UGGACAAUCCCAAGGGUGGGGGAGCCUGGUGGGCUGCCAUUUAUGGGGUCGCACAGAGUCGGACACGACUGAAGCGACUUAGCAGCAGCAGCAGCAGAAGUAUAUUAGUUGAAUUAUUUAUACUUUCCACAAACUAUUGAAAUGUGACCAAUUUAGAAAUUAUGGUUUUGUUAUAGAAACUACUCAGAACAGAUAGACUUUCUUGUGUCAAUUUUCUUCAAAAAGUAAAGUAUUAUUUUAUUAUAAAUUAAACAUAAAUUUCUUCCUAGCAGUCGUUUACACUGUCUUUCCAUGCCCAUGGUCACUAUAACAUCCUGGGAAAAUAAAGAAGUCAAAAAUCUGUAUAACAAUUCCAUAAUACGCUUGGGUCCAGCCAGAUAUAGAAUACGAACAGACAGUAAUAUUGGAAAUGGAGGCUCUUAAGGUCUGAUUUGGAGAGGGGAGAGAAACAGCAGAAGAACAAAAUCUGAGACUAUUUAUCUCCAUGUCCCAGCUCCACAUACUCUUUUUACAAAAGAUUUAAGUUCUUUCCAAAAACACAUCAAAGAAUAUUGAUUGAAGGAUUUUUCUGAGUAGCCUUUGACCACGGGGGAAGUUCUGACGUACCUAGUGGGAAACUGAAAACAAGAGGAAAAUCUCUGUUUGAGUUCAAGUGAAGUCGCUCAGUCGUGUCCCACUCUUUGAGACUCCAUGGACUGUAGCCUGUCAGGCUCCUCUGUCCAGGCAAGAAUACUGGAGUGGACUGCCAUUUCCUUCUCCAAGGGAUCUUCCCAACCCAGGGAUUGAACCUGGGUCUCCUGUAUUGCAGGAAGACUCCUUACUGGCUGAGCCAUGAGAGAAGUCACAAAGGUCAGCCCGCUGCAUUGGCUGGGAAUCAAACCAGGUCAACUGUUUGGAAGGCGGCUAUGCUCACUACUAUACCACCAAUGCUCCUUAAAUUACACACAGAUCUUCUACAUUGUCAAUAAAUGACUAAUAAAGGCAGUUAAAGAACUUAACUGAAAGGAUGGGUGCAUGUGGGCUAAGUCACUUCAGUCAUGUCCGACUCUUUUCAACCUUAUGGACUGUAGCCUGCCAGGCUCCUCUGUCCAUGGGGAUUCUCCAGGCAGGAAUACUGGAGUGGGUUGCUAUGCCAUCCCCCUCCAGGGAUGCGACCAGAGAGCGAACCCCGGUCUCACGUGUCUCCUGCACGGACAGAUUAACCAAGAACAUCGUUUCCUAUAGAUAACUAUUUUCCAGCCAUCAUCAACUAAUCAUCAAACACUUGAAUAUUUUUUCCCCACGACUUGUACAGUAUGGUCAGAAGACUAUUUGCCUCAGAAUUGUAAACGUGGAUUCCUACGUCAUUGCACGGACCUGAUAAAUAAAGAUCUUUGGAGAUGUGACUCAGCCAUACCAAAAUCUGAGAACCACUACUUUAAAGAAUACCACAGCUCUCAAUUUGAACAGAAAGAUUGAAUUUGACCAAUUAUGUUUUAUCAAGGUCUUUAGCAAUUUAGAGAACAUAUGAUGUAUUUCUUAAUAAAUUAUAGUUAUUC